UACUAGAGUAGCACUCGCAUAUCAAUAAGCGGAGGAAAAGAAACUAACAAGGAUUCCCCUAGUAACGGCGAGUGAAGCGGGAAGAGCUCAAAUUUGAAAUCUUAAAGGGUUUCCCUUUACGAAUUGUAGUUUAAAGAAGUGUUUUCUGUUGAGGUUUUGGUAAAAGUUCUUUGGAAUAGGACAUCAUAGAGGGUGAGAAUCCCGUAUUUGACCUUUACUUUCAACUUUGUGAUACACUUUCAAAGAGUCGGAUUGUUUGGGAAUGCAGUCCAAAAUGGGUGGUAAAUUUCAUCUAAAGCUAAAUAUUGGCGAGAGACCGAUAGCGAACAAGUACCGCGAGGGAAAGAUGAAAAGAACUUUGAAAAGAGAGUUAAACAGUACGUGAAAUUGUCAAAAGGGAAGCGUUUGACACCAGUGUUGUUUUUCUGAAAAUCAAUUAAAGAACUGUUUAUGCCAAGCUGUUUAGACUUUAUCAGCUAUCUGUUUAGUUUUGAGCUUUUCUUUAAUGCACUUUUCAGUUAACAAGUCAACAUCAAUUUCUCUUGCUGUAAAAAAGCUUGAGGAAGGUGGCUUGAGAUUCGUCUUAAGUGUUUAUAGCCUCUUGCCUAUGCAGUCGGAGAGAUUGAGGUCUGCAGCGUAGAUCCUUCGGGGCUAAAUGCAUUUGUGCUAAGUUAUAGCAUUUUAUAGACAACUUGUUGACUAUGAUUUGUCUUGUAGCUUACUCGCUUAUGUUAUUUUACCUACGCUUAGGAUGUUGAGCGCAUGUCUCUCUCU
rnacentral:rRNA from 1 species